rnacentral:hammerhead_ribozyme from 1 species
AUCCGGUUGACGAGUUCUGAACAGGACGAAACGCGCGUUUUGGAU